rnacentral:rRNA from 1 species
UACGAAGGGUGCAAGCGUUACUCGGAAUUACUGGGCGUAAAGCGUGCGUAGGUGGUUUGUUAAGUCUGUUGUGAAAGCCCCGGGCUCAACCUGGGAAUGGCAAUGGAUACUGGCAAGCUAGAGUGCGGUAGAGGGUAGUGGAAUUCCCGGUGUAGCGGUGAAAUGCGUAGAUAUCUGGAGGAACACCGGUGGCGAAGGCGGCAUCCUGGACCAACACUGACGCUGAGGAGCGAAAGCCAGGGGAGCAAACGGG